GGAGAAGCUAGGCAGGAAGGAAGGAGCCCUACAAUGUUGACAUUUGUCUUUUUGAGAAACUGAAUCCAGAACGAACAGCCAACAGUCAAGCACAGCCUGAAGGAGACUUCUCUAGGCUGCAGUCUGGAAUCUAGAGCAAACUUAGCACAUGCAGUGCUGAUAACUGGACUUCACAGAACAGCUGAGCCUCCUUCCCUCCAGCUAAAUGUUUAUUCCAGCAGUCAACCACAUUCAUCCAGAAGCAGACAGACCCUUCCUGUUUCAGUUGUCCUCACUCUCAGGAUCUGGUUCCUUACCCCCCACCCUUGGGGCUAUGCAGGGACCUGGCUUGGAGCAUCUUUUCUGCAGGGCAGCCCUCUGCAAGGUGAGCAGCAUGGAAAGGAUGAGGCUGCUUCAGCACAACGAGGAAUCCAGGCCAGUAACGGGAGGAAAAGACUGCUAUUUAGGCUUCUCACAAGUCUGUUCUUUUCACUAGUAAUUAAAGUGACAUUUUCCGUGCCAUCUGUAGAGAUUUUGAGGAUGCAAUCGAGUGAUCUGUCAACAGUGCUGGUUCCAGGGAUGUAGGAGAAAACACAGCAGCUCCUGCUUCUCUGAGCAGAGCUUGAGGAAACGAGAAAUGCCAACUUUUGCAGGAAAGUGUCUUUGCUCUCCCUUAUGAACUCUUGUCACCUUAAUCAUUUUGAAGGGAAAGAGCAUAUUCUAAAUUUAAUUCUUUUGAAGAACAAAUUUUAUCCAAGCUUUUAA